CACGCAGGCACGCCCGAGUGUACGCGGCCUCUUUUUGGGACACUCCUUGUUGCAUGUAGCGGCCAUCAGGUCAAUCGCCCCCGCCGUCGUCGUCGGUCAGCCCGACAAAGAUCUCCUUGGCGGCCGACUCGUGGUGAGGGCAUGCGUGCUUGGCCCAUGGCGUGGGCAGGCCAUCGGGAUGCGGGCGCCAGCCGCGCGCGGCAAACCACUCGACGAGACGCCGUUCGCCGCGUUCUGCCGCCGCCCACACGAGUGCCGACAGGAUCUGCGCGUGCCGCAUCGCGAUGAUAUCGUGGCCGCGCUGGCGUGCCCACUCGACGGCCGGCACCGACGCGCUGCCAAUGCAGUCGUCGUAGGCGACCAACGCAUCAAUAUCCACGUCCCAUUCGCUGUGCAAUCGUUCGAGCAUGUCGACGGGCACGCGCAGCACCCCGUUGCCCGCCAGCACCAUCGGCUUGGCUCGCUCCGAGGCGGACAAUCGCCGUCGGCGUCCCAAGAGGUAUUCGACGAUACGGUGCCGGUCGUCUUCACGGUGUCUGCUUAUGGCGCGUGAAAGCCCCGCGUCGAUGUGGUAGACCUCGUGCUGUCGGUCGGCCAACCAUGCGUCGAGCGCGCAUCUGAUCGUUUCGAUACGGCCCGUGUCGACAGCACGCGCGACGAGGUCGUCGGCGAGCGCCGCGGCGAUGGUGUGUCGAUCAGCGCCGUUCGCCACAAGGUCGCCGAUGCACGCCGAACGCAGACCAUGCUGGUCGCACAGGUAGCGCGUCACGUCCAUGUUUAGGCUGGAUACGCUAUCGAGCAGGUCGGCAGCCGUCGGCCUGUAGCCGCGUAUCUCGCACGCGUAGCGGACGGUCUGCAGAUCGAGCCGGCCUAUGCUUUGAUGCUGCGGGAGCGGGUGGUUGGGCGCGACGCCCAAGGCGGCGGCGAGGUCGAUAUCGGCGGCGUGACAAUCGGGGUGUCCCGUGUGGGCGAGCACAAACGACACCAUGUCUCGGUCGUUGGUCAAGUAGAGUAGCCCGCCCAUGUAGGCAGAUCCGACGGCAGGAAAGAGUUCACGGAGCGCGACCAGUGUGGGCACGUCGCCCGACGGAAUAGCGAUCAUCAACACGCGCGUGGGGUCGCUGUCGAUGGCGCAAACCACCCCUUGCGGGUCCGACGACGCCACGCGGGCCUCGAUGGCGUCACGGUUGCGAGCGACGAACCGCACCACGUCGGGGUUGCGCCCGCCCGCGGCGCACAUGAGUAUGCGCCGAGUGCACUUGUUGUGCUCGCUCUGCCAGACAAACUCGACCGUGGCGAGGUGACCCGAAACGCAGGCCAAAUCAAAUAGGCCCCUGUCGCGCCAGCCGAUGCCGUGCAGGCCUGGAUUGUGGCGCGGCGUGAUCAUAUCGUAGAGGUCUGCGGUGCCGGCGUUGAUGGCGCGAGCGUGGGUCGGGUUCAGGCGAUGUAGCAUCUUUGCUAUCGAAAGGCGCCCGUGCACGACGGCUGUCGCCAGCGCCGCGGGCGUGCACACCGCGCCGUUGGUCUCGCACAGAUAAUCGACAAGGGCGCCGUGGCCCUCGGAUACGGCAGCGACGAUCGCACGGUUUAUCUGGAUGUCGGUCCAGCGGUGGUCUGCCUGCUGGAGGAGGAGCCAACGUACGACGUCGAUGUGGCCGCGGCGCGCCGCGUGGCUCAAGAUGUCGCAUGGGUAGCCCCUGUCUGCAUGGACCCAAAUCCAGCGCAGAGUCUCUAAGCGACCCGACGAGGCUGCCGUCACAGCGUGGGACCAUUCAAAGCGGGCGCCUCGGCGAGCACGCAUGUAGGCGAGUGCCUCGGUGUCACCAGCGCGGACGAGGUCACGCUUUUUGGUCCGGCGACAACGCUGGCGGAGGGCUUCGUCGUCGGCCGCACGAAACACGCCCGACGCGAUGCACGCCGCGACGUCGCUUGUCUCGGGCAAGGCGUCGAGCACGAGGGCGACAAUCUCGGGCGACAGCACCGCGGGUCCGCAUAGGUCGGGAGAGUCGCCGUCGGUGCGCGGACGCUUGUGACGCCGAGGGUCGUUUGCUCGUCCGCCAUCGUCGGGAUCGGGCGGGUCGUUCCUUUUCAGAGGGCUUUUCGGAAGCAGAGGCGUGCCGCGGCGCCGCGAAUCGGGGGUCGCAUUUGGCCCAGUGCCGGUCAUCUUGGUGGUGUCCGAGGCCUCGGCGAUCGGCGCCUCCAUCGUCGUCGUAUAUUUUUUCUUCCAGAAAAAAAAAGAAAAGACUCUGGUGCGGUGCUGGUGGCACAAAGAGACAGGUUUUGGCAGCGCC
rnacentral:lncRNA from 1 species